CCUACGGGUGGCAGCAGUGAGGAAUAUUGGUCAAUGGCCGGAAGGCUGAACCAGCCAUGCCGCGUGAACGUCAGUGCCCUAUGGGCGUUAAACUUCUUUUGUGCGGGAGCAAUAAUGGUCACGUGUGGCCAGACGAGAGUACCGUACGAAUAAGCAUCGGCUAACUCCGUGCCAGCAGCCGCGGUAAUACGGGGGAUGCAAGCGUUAUCCGGGUUUAUUGGGUUUAAAGGGUGCGUAGGCUGUGAGGUAAGUCAGCGGUGAAAUGCCCCCGCUCAACGGGGUGAAGUGCCAUUGAUACUGCCUGGCUGGAAUGCGGAUGCGGUAGGAGGAAUGUGUGGUGGAGCGGUGAAAUGCAUAGAUAUCACACAGAACACCGAUUGCGAAGGCAUCUCACGAAUCCGCGAUUGACGCUGAUGCACGAAAGCGUGGGUAUCAAACAGGAUUAGUUACCCGGGUAGUC
rnacentral:rRNA from 1 species